GUAAUAUUCUCUCCAGCACAUACUGAAAUUGGAAUGACGUGGAGAAGAAUACCAUGGCCCCUGAGCAAGGAUGACACACAAAUUCUUGAAGAGUUNCAAAUUUUU
rnacentral:snRNA from 1 species